CGGACGGGUGAGUAAUGUCUGGGGAAACUGCCUGAUGGAGGGGGAUAACUACUGGAAACGGUAGCUAAUACCGCAUAACGUCGCAAGACCAAAGAGGGGGACCUUGGGCCUCUUGCCAUCGGAUGUGCCCAGAUGGGAUUAGCUAGUAGGUGGGGUAACGGCUCACCUAGGCGACGAUCCCUAGCUGGUCUGAGAGGAUGACCAGCCACACUGGAACUGAGACACGGUCCAG
rnacentral:rRNA from 1 species